GUGGGGAAUAUUGGACAAUGGGCGCAAGCCUGAUCCAGCCAUGCCGCGUGAGUGAUGAAGGCCUUAGGGUUGUAAAGCUCUUUCAGUAGGGAAGAUAAUGACGGUACCCACAGAAGAAGCCCCGGCUAACUUCGUGCCAGCAGCCGCGGUAAUACGAAGGGGGCUAGCGUUGUUCGGAUUUACUGGGCGUAAAGCGCACGUAGGCGGAUCGUUAAGUCAGGGGUGAAAUCCUGGAGCUCAACUCCAGAACUGCCUUUGAUACUGGCGAUCUAGAGUCCGGAAGAGGUGAGUGGAACUCCUAGUGUAGAGGUGGAAUUCGUAGAUAUUAGGAAGAACACCAGUGGCGAAGGCGGCUCACUGGUCCGGUACUGACGCUGAGGUGCGAAAGCGUGGGGAGCAAACAGGAUUAGAUACCCCAGUAGUCC
rnacentral:rRNA from 1 species